GUGAAAUUAACUCUGAGGCAGCCAGAGUAUAUGGAUUAAAACUGUUUUUCAACCUUCAACAGAUUUCAGCAAAGGUUCUGCUACAUCCUCUUGCUUCCUCUCCUUUCUUGUUAGAAUGUUUGAGGAUUUUUUUUAUUUUUUUUUUUUUCAGUCACAAUCUUUUCUGAGAUGUUUCCUGAGAUAUUAUUAUGGAGAAGUAAUGUAGAUGAUAAAAAAGCAUGAAAAAGUGUUCAAAAAGAAGUGGAAAAAGAUGUUCUUGUGUAACUGGAGAUACUGAUAUGCUCUUCCCUGUCAUAAAAAUGCAGCAGUGCAGUCCAAAAGACCACAGAUAUGUAUUACAUGACUCUUUAAAGGACCCUGCCUGCCACAGAGAUCCAGUAAAGACAGCUAAACCAGCUGCAUACUUUCUGACCUCAAGUACCCCCCUGGGCUGCCUCCUCCUGCCAGCUGGUACAAAAGCAUUUGUUACGUAUCCUUGCAUAUGGUAAAAGAUACCUGAACCAAGGUGACUCAUGAGGGAGGGUAAUGUAUGCUAUUGGUUUAAAGAUUUUUGUUAGCUUCAGUGUUUGCACUUCACUAUAAAUAUUCUAAUUAUUGAUAGGAGUAUGAUAAGAAGGGAAUGCAAAGAGAAUUAAUGGAAACAGAGGAAUGGAGAGGAAAAGAGGAAAGUAAGGCAGAAAUAUUUACUCCAAACUUCACUUGAAGCAUAAGUUAAUGAUACUAUAUUGUGCUCAAGUCAUAGAGUGAGUCCAUGAGUAAGCAGUGUGUCCAUCAUGAGAAGAAUGUGCUCAUACCUGAGCAGGAGAGGGUUGCUGAUACAUGGUGCUCCACAGACAACCUUGAUUUGGGGCUGCAGUUCAAUUCCUUUGACAUGGAGGGUGCAGUGGCUCCUUCGAACUCAUUCUCUCCUGAUGUGCUCACCAGGAUUGAGAAUGAAGAAGGAAAAAACAAGAAAAGAACAGGGUAUAAAGUUUCCUUUGUUUCUUAGAACUGUGUCAUAGAUGAAACAUUUAAUUAUAUACCAAUCAAAAUAAAUCUUGCACGUAAUGAAUAUGAGUUCA
rnacentral:lncRNA from 1 species